rnacentral:misc_RNA from 1 species
AAGUUAAUAAGAUUGAUUUCUAAUUUUGUUAUCUCUUCCAAUGAGAUCACUUGUUCUAUGUUCUAAUCCAACUUUAGAGAAUUGACUCAAACAAGAUGUUCCAAAGUUCUCAUGUUAUAUUUGCUAUUUUAUUGGCUUGGGGUAUGAAUAUUUGUUGUUCUUUUAGAUUUUUGCCCACCAAUGGUGUUGCUGAGUGCAGUCUCUGAUUUCCAAAAUUGGUUCUUAU